rnacentral:rRNA from 1 species
UACGGAGGGGACUAGCGUUGUUCGGAAUUACUGGGCGUAAAGCGCACGUAGGCGGAUUGUUAAGUUAGGGGGUGAAAUCCCAGGGCUCAACCCUGGAACUGCCUUUAAUACUGGCAAUCUCGAGUCCGAGAGAGGUGAGUGGAAUUCCGAGUGUAGAGGUGAAAUUCGUAGAUAUUCGGAGGAACACCGGUGGCGAAGGCGGGUCUCUGGGCCGAUACUGACGCUGAGGAGCGAAAGCGUGGGGAGCAAACAGGAUUAGAACUACCGA